rfam:Triticum urartu cultivar G1812 contig119321, whole genome shotgun sequence.
AUAGUACUCCCUCCGUUUCAAAUUACUUGUCGCGGGUAUGAAUGUAUCUAGAUGUAUUUUAAUUCUAGAUACAUCCAUUUCUACGACGAGUAAUUUGAAACGGAUGGGAGUAUGAA